GGUCGACGAUUCCUACGGGAGGCAGCAGUGGGGAAUCUUGCGCAAUGGGCGAAAGCCUGACGCAGCGACGCCGCGUGGGUGAUGAAGGCCUUCGGGUUGUAAAGCUCUGUGGGGAGAGACGAAUAAGACGUGGCUAACAUCCACGGCGAUGACGGUAUCUCCUUAGCAAGCACCGGCUAACUCUGUGCCAGCAGCCGCGGUAA
rnacentral:rRNA from 1 species